UCUCUUCAUCCUCCCCAGCCACCCCUCCUUUUUUCCCCAUAGAAUUAGGUAUGACACGAGACAGAAGAGGUGCCUGAAACACAAUGUACCAGGCAGACAAGUACGGAAACUUAUACGGGAGGUGUCAUACACAAACUUUCAACAGUAGGGGACACAACACUGACUUAGUGAGACGUUGGUAGAUGCUUAAAAAGCCUACAAAGACACUUUGCAGAGUAUUAAACUAAACCAUGUUAAAUAGAAAGCCACACUGACUCACAAAGUCCCUGAGCCACACACUGCCAAAGGCUAGGACAAUCCUUAGAAAUCUCUCUGUAUACUUGCCUUGUUCUUGCAACUCUUUCCCAAACAUCUGCCUCUUGCUUCUGUUAGAAGUCAGGGCAAGACUAGCUGCCAGCAUAAUGGCUCUUACAUUCUUAAUUGUGCUGUCACAACAAAUCCUGCAGUUCUGAGCCCUGCAAGCUGCUGCAAGGCAGCAUGAAGUCACAUCAAGAUAUGCCCCUCAUCCCUAGUCAUCCAUUCACUCCUGUGCUGCACCAAACCAAGUACCAGGAAGCCAAUGCAGUAAAUACAGUUCCUGUACUCCUAGGAGUUCUGCACACAAAACUUUUGUGAAGCACUGACAGCAACCAGGACCUCAAUCCAUGUCAGGAUCAUUUGGCUCCAGGCAAGGAAAGUUUCUCUGGUUUGGAGCAAGAAGCUUGGAGAGCUUUAUCUCAAUGGAGAGGGAAAUAAAAAAAGCAGUGGCUGUCCUUGAG